CUCUUGGCGGCCAUGGCGGCGUGCAGGUUCUUGUCGUCUUCGCUUCUGUGGUUGACCUGGGACGCCGCGGAAGACCCUCCAUAGCUCUCGGCCUGUUGGCGGGAUGACUGCGUCUCGUACUGUCGGUUGUUAAAAAAUGUUGCUUGCUUUCCUGCCGGGGGCUCAGUCGCCCCAUGCAGCAGACUAACACUGUGCUAAGAGGAAGAGCAGUUCAAGAUGUGCCCGAGGGCCUCACUCCCCACCCCGGACCUCCGGCCCAGAAAUCUUUAGCAAGGAGACCAAACCAUGUGGACCCACUGGGAUUGGAAUAAAAUACAAAUCUGAUGCAGUCCCCCGCUGUGAUCUUGCCAAGAAUGUGUGCUGCGUGAUUGCUUUCCUUCUCUGGGGCGUUUGCCUUCUGGAAAUUGGGCUGAGAGGACCUGUCGGGGUCUGCGGAAAGCUGGCUGCUAGGCUCUGCUUGUGGUGUGAACUUCAUGUUGAAUGCCCAGCCGUGGCCCAGUUGAGAUCCAGAAGCCAGGAAGAAGAAAGCCUACCUCUUGGUCUCGUGGCUGAGCAGGACAGGGGCAGAUAUGAGCAUAGACCUACCUCAGUGUGGCCUCCGACCUCUCCAGGGACCUGCAGAGCCGCCCACAUCCUAAAUUACUGACCACAUUUGUGUUGGCUUGAACUGCUGCUUCAAGACUGGUGGAAUUAUUAGCUCUAUGCGGUUGGCAGUAGGGGUGGCCGGGCCCUCUAAGACUCAGCAUUUCCAUCUAACCAACUGCACAUUGCCCCCAAUGUGGGGGGGCGCUGUAGGUGCUGUGGCACAAAUAAACUUGUUACUUC